rnacentral:rRNA from 1 species
UCAGCCCUAAACACAAAUAAUUUUAAAAACAAAAUUAUUCGCCAGAGUACUACCGGCAACAGCCUAAAACUCAAAGGACUUGGCGGUGCUUUAUACCCUUCUAGAGGAGCCUGUUCUAUAAUCGAUAAACCCCGAUAGACCUCACCAAUUCUUGCUAAUACAGUCUAUAUACCGCCAUCUUCAGCAAACCCUAAAAAGGAACAAAAGUAAGCGCAAUCAUAACACAUAAAAACGUUAGGUCAAGGUGUAACCUAUGAAAU